CGAAAACGAAUUCUCUCUUGAGUGGAUCCUGAGUACGACGGAGCACGUGAAAUUCCGUCGGAAUCUGGGAGGACCAUCUCCUAAGGCUAAAUACUCUCUAGUGACCGAUAGUGAACCAGUACCGUGAGGGAAAGGUGAAAAGUACCCCGGAAGGGGAGUGAAAGAGAACUUGAAACCGUGUGCUUACAAGUAGUCAGAGCCCGUUAAUGGGUGAUGGCGUGCCUUUUGUAGAAUGAACCGGCGAGUUACGAUCUGAUGCAAGGUUAAGCAGAAAAUGUGGAGCCGUAGCGAAAGCGAGUCUGAAUAGGGCGAAUGAGUAUUUGGUCGUAGACCCGAAACCAGGUGAUCUACCCUUGGUCAGGUUGAAGUUCAGGUAACACUGAAUGGAGGACCGAACCGACUUACGUUGAAAAGUGAGCGGAUGAACUGAGGGUAGCGGAGAAAUUCCAAUCGAACUUGGAGAUAGCUGGUUCUCUCCGAAAUAGCUUUAGGGCUAGCCUCAAGUGAUGAUUAUUGGAGGUAGAGCACUGUUUGGACGAGGGGCCCCUCUCGGGUUACCGAAUUCAGACAAACUCCGAAUGCCAAAUAAUUUAACUUGGGAGUCAGAAUGUGGGUGAUAAGGUCCAUAUUCGAAAGGGAAACAGCCCAGACCACCAGCUAAGGUCCCAAAAUAUAUGUUAAGUGGAAAAGGAUGUGGCGUUGCCCAGACAACUAGGAUGUUGGCUUAGAAGCAGCCAUCAUUUAAAGAGUGCGUAAUAGCUCACUAGUCGAGUGACACUGCGCCGAAAAUGUACCGGGGCUAAACAUAUUACCGAAGCUGUGGAUUGUCCUUUGGACAAUGGUAGGAGAGCGUUCUAAGGGCGUUGAAGCAUGAUCGCAAGGACAUGUGGAGCGCUUAGAAGUGAGAAUGCCGGUGUGAGUAGCGAAAGACGGGUGAGAAUCCCGUCCACCGAUUGACUAAGGUUUCCAGAGGAAGGCUCGUCCGCUCUGGGUUAGUCGGGUCCUAAGCUGAGGCCGACAGGCGUAGGCGAUGGAUAACAGGUUGAUAUUCCUGUACCACCAUUAUUCGUUUUAAGCGAUGGGGGGACGCAGUAGGAUAGGCGAAGCGUGCUGUUGGAGUGCACGUCCAAGCAGUGAGAUUGAGUGUUAGGCAAAUCCGGCACUCUUAAGAUUGAGCUGUGAUGGGGAGAGGAACUUGUUCCUCGAGUCGUUGAUUUCACACUGCCGAGAAAAGCCUCUAGCUAGAAUAACGGUGCCCGUACCGCAAACCGACACAGGUAGUCAAGAUGAGAAUUCUAAGGUGAGCGAGCGAACUCUCGUUAAGGAACUCGGCAAAAUGACCCCGUAACUUCGGGAGAAGGGGUGCUCUUUGAGGUUCACGCUUCGAAGAGCCGCAGUGAAUAGGCCCAAGCGACUGUUUAUCAAAAACACAGGUCUCUGCUAAACCGUAAGGUGACGUAUAGGGGCUGACGCCUGCCCGGUGCUGGAAGGUUAAGAGGAGUGGUUAGCGCAAGCGAAGCUACGAAUCGAAGCCCCAGUAAACGGCGGCCGUAACUAUAACGGUCCUAAGGUAGCGAAAUUCCUUGUCGGGUAAGUUCCGACCCGCACGAAAGGCGUAACGAUUUGGGCACUGUCUCAACGAGAGACUCGGUGAAAUCAUAGUACCGGUGAAGAUGCCGGUUACCCGCGACAGGACGGAAAGACCCCGUGGAGCUUUACUGUAGCCUGAUAUUGAAAUUCGGUACAGUUUGUACAGGAUAGGUAGGAGCCUUAGAAGCGUGAGCGCUAGCUUACGUGGAGGCAUUGGUGGGAUACUACCCUAAUU
rnacentral:rRNA from 1 species